rnacentral:rRNA from 1 species
UGGUGGAGUGAUUUGUCUGCUUAAUUGCGAUAACGAACGAGACCUUAACCUGCUAAAUAGCCAGGCUAGCUUUGGCUGGUCGCCGGCUUCUUAGAGGGACUAUCGGUCUCAAGCCGAUGGAAGUUUGAGGCAAUAACA